GAUGAACGCUAGCGGCAGGCCUAAUACAUGCAAGUCGAACGGUGUCUUCGGACAUAGUAGCGCACGGGUGCGUAACACGUAUGCAACCUACCUUACAUUGGGGGAUAGCCUUUCGAAAGGGAGAUUAAUACCGCAUAAGACAGUAGCUGGGCAUCCAGCAGCUGUUAAAGAUUUAUCGAUGUAAGCUGGGCAUGCGUCCAAUGUAGCUAGUUGGUGAGGUAACGGCUCACCAAGGCAAUGAUUGGUAGGGGAACUGAGAGGUCAAUCCCCCACACAGGCACUGAGAUACGGGCCAGACUCCUACGGGAGGCAGCAGUAGGGAAUAUUGGGCAAUGGACGCAAGUCUGACCCAGCCAUGCCGCGUGCAGGAUGAAGGCGUUAUGCGUUGUAAACUGCUUUUAUACAGGAAGAAACGACUCUUGCGAGAGGCAUUGACGGUACUGUAUGAAUAAGCACCGGCUAACUCCGUGCCAGCCGCCGCAGUAACAC
rnacentral:rRNA from 1 species